GGAGGAGUGCCCGAGUGGACAAAGGGAACAGACUGUAAAUCUGCCGACCGAAAGGUCUACGUAGGUUCGAAUCCUACUUCCUCCA
rnacentral:tRNA from 1 species